rnacentral:rRNA from 1 species
ACGGGGGGGCACAAGCGGUGGAGCAUGUGGUUUAAUUUGAAGCAACGCGAAGAACCUUACCAGGCCUUGACAUGCAGAGAACUUUCCAGAGAUGGAUUGGUGCCUUCGGGAACUCUGACACAGGUGCUGCAUGGCUGUCGUCAGUUCGUGUCGUGAGAUGUUGGGUUAAGUCCCGUAACGAGCGCAACCCUUUUCCUUAGUUACCAGCACGUUAAGGUGGGCACUCUAAGGAGACUGCCGGUGACAAACCGGAGGAAGGUGGGGAUGACGUCAAGUCAUCAUGGCCCUUACGGCUUGGGCUACACACGUGUUACAAUGGUCGGUACAAAGGGUUGCCAACCCCAGAGGUGGAGGUAAUCCCAUAACCCCGAUC